CGAACAUUUUAGACACGAGCUGGACGCCGUGCCUCAAUCCUGGGACUUGCAGAUGUCGCGAUGAAGAUCUCUCAAGCAAGGAAGAGAGUUUGUAGGAUCAUGAUCGAUGCGACGCGGAACAGGACCGCAGCUGACUUCUAACAUGACAGGUAUUCCGGGUUUUCCGGUUUUAUCCGAUAAACUCCGCUUUUGGAGGCUCCAGUACCAUAGAGCUCUUCGAGAAAAGCCACGCCGUAAUUACUGGUUGACGGAGUUCGUUACCAUCUGUGUCAGGACUCCCUCGAGACUCUGUGGAGAAAUACCUUGGCCACUGCAGGAAUUGUACGGUGGAUGAUGUCCUACAUCCCAGAGGCUCUUUCACGGAAAGACACUCUAAAAUUCGCAGCCUCGUCUGCUUUCUCCAGGAAUCUGGCCUCGCUCAAAGGCUAUGAGUACUGCGCGGACUUCUCACCAAUUCUGGCAGUGGCUGCCCUAGAUCUUAACUUUCGGCCGUCAUCAUUCCUUCAUCUGUUAUGACAGCACCUCAUCUCAUCCUGGCUACAGUCGUGACGCUGCCCACAUACGUGAGGCCAACAACGGCAAGCCGAUUUUCGUCACCACCACCACCACCAUCGAGACUGCCUCAUAUUUGCACCUCGAAGUGUCAUCCAGGCCGCGGGAGUCAGGAGCAACUCUAAAGUCCACCAUUUCGCUUGCCUCCUACUGCUGCGUUCAUCUAAAGUCUACUUCUGGACACCGUGUACAUUGACAACAUUCCCCGGCAACUAGACAUGCUACCAUGUCGACAGAAUCUGUCAUCUAAAUAUCCCUAAAAGCUAUAGUCAGAGAGCCAUACUGUGUACCGGUGGUACUGCCGAAAGAGCUCGCCAUAGCUGUACUGUGUAGUCACAUUCUAAAACUUCAGAUAGCUACCAACCAAUGACACCGGGGAAUAUUAAACUCUUUAUUCCCCAUGGCACACUGCGAAACAACAAAACAUCAUCUUCAUAUCCCGGUUUGCUUCCGCUUGAUGCCCGACUUUUUUUCAUUCAACUAUAACUUCUGCAGCGAGAUAUCUGCACAAUAUCGAUUCCGAGCAAGGUUCAAAACAACUGUGUUCUCCAAAGGUUAAUGGCGUAAUGAGCGAACAGUGGAAGCUGCAUUUGAAACAAUGAAAAAUGCUCAGUAAAAACCCGCGUGACAGUUCAUUAAGCAAAGAGCCCUUACUGAGUCUUUGCACGGCACACAAAGUAAACAAUAUCUGCUAGAAAACACCACAUCACGUCCCUCUAACACGAAAGGCGUACUAUGCCGGCUAGGAAAAUUCAGUAGAAGCGUCGCAUGGGAAGCUGACCCUUUUAAUUACACAAAGUAUUUACAAACUCCCACGGAAGUGCACAGCAAGCAACGCGGCGGAGGUCGGCAGACAGACAGUUUCUGUUAGUUUUGGCCAGCGAAUGCAACAGACUCUAUGGGAAGGAUGAAGAAUGGAAAGGAAAAUAUAUGGUCGCAAACAGUAUACAAAUGAAACCUGGAGUCAUAAUUGAUUGGCUACCCUUUAAUACAAGAGGAGCAGAAUGGA